rnacentral:ribozyme from 1 species
AGAAAAAGAAGAGGGAAGAGGAAAGAGAAGGGAGAGAAGGGUUGUUUGGGAACCAAAAGUCUUUUCCACAACAUUCUUCUGUUGCGUCUCUUUCUUCUUCGAGUUACAAGUAUUCUUCUUCUUUUUCUUCUUCUUC